rnacentral:rRNA from 1 species
AUGAACGCUGGCGGCGUGCCUAAUACAUGCAAGUCGAGCGAACAGACGAGGAGCUUGCUCCUCUGACGUUAGCGGCGGACGGGUGAGUAACACGUGGAUAACCUACCUAUAAGACUGGGAUAACUUCGGGAAACCGGAGCUAAUACCGGAUAAUAUAUUGAACCGCAUGGUUCAAUAGUGAAAGACGGUUUUGCUGUCACUUAUAGAUGGAUCCGCGCCGCAUUAGCUAGUUGGUAAGGUAACGGCUUACCAAGGCGACGAUGCGUAGCCGACCUGAGAGGGUGAUCGGCCACACUGGAACUGAGACACGGUCCAGACUCCUACGGGAGGCAGCAGUAGGGAAUCUUCCGCAAUGGGCGAAAGCCUGACGGAGCAACGCCGCGCGAGUGAUGAAGGUCUUCGGAUCGUAAAACUCUGUUAUUAGGGAAGAACAAAUGUGUAAGUAACUAUGCACGUCUUGACGGUACCUAAUCAGAAAGCCACGGCUAACUACGUG